GUUCAGUGCAGGAGCGGCGGCUCGCAACGCGGAGAGAGGGUCGCUUUUUAAGAAGCCGCGGCUCCUUGUUUUCAUCGCCUUUCCUCGGCGCACGGCCGCCUUUCCUCACUCGACCGGCGGAGUCGAGCCUUCCUCGUCUAGGCGCUGGGCUGAAAAGCGGCGCGCUCGCCUUUUGGAAAAGCGACUCUCGCCGCGCCGUCCUGGGAGCCCCGGACGGGGAAUUUCCCGCCGCCGCCGCAGCCCUUGUCUUUGGAAACUUGGCCUCCGGGGGGUGGCUGGGCUGGUCGUGCCCGAGCGCGCCCUCCUUUCUACUGCGUCGGUGGGGAGCCCCGCUUGGCGACCGAGGAGCUUGUGGAGAGAAUUGGAGAGCCGGGCCAGGGGGCCUCUGGCUUUACCUGGAGCAGAAGCCUGCAGAUCAGUGAUACCACCACCACCACCCCAACUGGAGGAUUACUGGUGCCUGAAGGAUAGAAAUGAUGUGUCUCUGAAAUUUGGUGCUGCUUUGGAGAAUGGGUAGAAA